rnacentral:rRNA from 1 species
AUAUGGUAGUUCUUUCAGAUAGUCGAAUGACUUGGAAAAGUCAGUCAAAGAGGGUAAAAACCCCGUAGACGAAAUGUGGAAGACACCUAGGAGGAUCCUGAGUACGGCGGAACACGAGAAAUUCCGUCGGAAUCCGGGAGGACCAUCUCCCAAGGCUAAAUACUCCCUAGUGACCGAUAGUGAACCAGUACCGUGAGGGAAAGGUGAAAAGCACCCCGGAAGGGGAGUGAAAUAGAACCUGAAACCGUGUGCCUACAACAAGUCAAAGCCCGUUAAUGGGUGAUGGCGUGCCUUUUGUAGAAUGAACCGGCGAGUUACGAUUGCAUGCGAGGUUAAGUUGAAGAGACGGAGCCGCAGCGAAAGCGAGUCUGAAUAGGGCGUUUGAGUAUGUAGUCGUAGACCCGAAACCAUGUGAUCUACCCAUGUCCAGGUUGAAGGUGCGGUAAAACGCACUGGAGGACCGAACCCACGUACGUUGAAAAGUGCGGGGAUGAGGUGUGGGUAGCGGAGAAAUUCCAAACGAACUUGGAGAUAGCUGGUUCUCUCCGAAAUAGCUUUAGGGCUAGCCUCGGAAUUGAGAAUGAUGGAGGUAGAGCACUGUUUGGACUAGGGGCCCAUCUCGGGUUACCGAAUUCAGAUAAACUCCGAAUGCCAUUCAUUCAUAUCCGGGAGUCAGACUGUGAGUGAUAAGAUCCAUAGUCGAAAGGGAAACAGCCCAGACCACCAGCUAAGGUCCCAAAAUAUAUGUUAAGUGGAAAAGGAUGUGGGGUUGCACAGACAACUAGGAUGUUGGCUUAGAAGCAGCCACCAUUUAAAGAGUGCGUAAUAGCUCACUAGUCGAGUGACCCUGCGCCGAAAAUGUACCGGGGCUAAACAUAUUACCGAAGCUGUGGAGUACACCUUUAGGUGUAUUGGUAGGAGAGCGUUCUAAGGGCGUUGAAGGCAGAUCGUGAGGACUGCUGGAGCGCUUAGAAGUGAGAAUGCCGGUAUGAGUAGCGAAAGACAGGUGAGAAUCCUGUCCACCGAAUGACUAAGGUUUCCUGGGGAAGGCUCGUCCGCCCAGGGUUAGUCGGGACCUAAGCCGAGGCCGACAGGCGUAGGCGAUGGAUAACAGGUUGAUAUUCCUGUACCCGUUGUUUUUGUUUGAGCAAUGGAGGGACGCAGGAGGCUAAGGAAUGCAGACGAUCGGAAAUGUCUGUCCAAGCAGUAAGUCUGAAGAGGAGUCAAAUGCUUCUUUUCUUAAGGACAAGCUGUGAUGGGGAGGGAAAUAAUAGUACCGAAGUUCCUGAUGUCACACUGCCGAGAAAAGCUUCUAGUGAGAAAACAGCGGCCCGUACCGCAAACCGACACAGGUAGUCGAGGAGAGAAUCCUAAGGUGAGCGAGAGAACUCUCGUUAAGGAACUCGGCAAAAUGACCCCGUAACUUCGGGAGAAGGGGUGCUGAUCAUACGAUCAGCCGCAGUGAAUAGGCCCAAGCGACUGUUUAUCAAAAACACAGGUCUCUGCAAAAUCGUAAGAUGAAGUAUAGGGGCUGACGCCUGCCCGGUGCUGGAAGGUUAAGAGGAGUGCUUAGCGCAAGCGAAGGUACGAAUUGAAGCCCCAGUAAACGGCGGCCGUAACUAUAACGGUCCUAAGGUAGCGAAAUUCCUUGUCGGGUAAGUUCCGACCCGCACGAAAGGCGUAACGAUUUGGGCACUGUCUCAACGAGAGACUCGGUGAAAUUUUAGUACCUGUGAAGAUGCAGGUUACCCGCGACAGGACGGAAAGACCCCAUGGAGCUUUACUGUAGUUUGAUAUUGAGUGUCUGUACCGCAUGUACAGGAUAGGUAGGAGCCGUAGAAAUCGGAACGCUAGUUUCGAUGGAGGCGCUGGUGGGAUACUACCCCUGCGUUAUGGCCACUCUAACCCGCACCACU